UACGUAGGCAGCAAGCGUUGUUCGGAGUUACUGGGCGUAAAGGGUGUGUAGGCGGUUGGAUAAGGGGGGGGGGAAAUCUCCCGGCUCAACUGGGAGGGUGCGCUACAAACUGUCUGACUAGAGUGCGGGAUGGGAAAGUGGAAUUCCUGGUGUAGCGGUGAAAUGCGUAGAUAUCAGGAGGAACACCGGUGGUGUAGACGGCUUUCUGGACCGUAACUGACGCUGAUACACGAAAGCGUGGGGAGCGAACAGG
rnacentral:rRNA from 1 species